rnacentral:rRNA from 1 species
CAGUCGCCGCGGUAAUACGAAGGGGGCUAGCGUUGUUCGGAAUUACUGGGCGUAAAGCGCACGUAGGCGGAUAUUUAAGUCAGGGGUGAAAUCCCAGAGCUCAACUCUGGAACUGCCUUUAAUACUGGGUAUCUUGAGUAUGGAAGAGGUGAGUGGAAUUCCGAGUGUAGAGGUGAAAUUCGUAGAUAUUCGGAGGAACACCAGUGGCGAAGGCGGCUCACUGGUCCAUUACUGACGCUGAGGUGCGAAAGCGUGGGGAGCAAACAGGAUUAGAUACCCCCGUAGUCCCUGUCUCUUAUAC